CCUACGGGAGGCAGCAGUGGGGAAUUUUGGACAAUGGGCGAAAGCCUGAUCCAGCAAUGCCGCGUGAGUGAAGAAGGCCUUCGGGUUGUAAAGCUCUUUUGUCAGGGAAGAAACGGUGAGAGCUAAUAUCUCUUGCUAAUGACGGUACCUGAAGAAUAAGCACCGGCUAACUACGUGCCAGCAGCCGCGGUAAUACGUAGGGUGCAAGCGUUAAUCGGAAUUACUGGGCGUAAAGCGUGCGCAGGCGGUUUUGUAAGUCUGUCGUGAAAUCCCCGGGCUCAACCUGGGAAUUGCGAUGGAGACUGCAAGGCUAGAAUCUGGCAGAGGGGGGUAGAAUUCCACGUGCAGCAGUGAAAUGCGUAGAGAUGUGGAGGAACACCGAUGGCGAAGGCAGCCCCCUGGGUCAAGAUUGACGCUCAUGCACGAAAGCGUGGGGAGCAAACAGGAUUAGAUACCCUGGUAGUCCACGCCCUAAACGAUGUCUACUAGUUGUCGGGUUUUAAUUAACUUGGUAACGCAGCUAACGCGUGAAGUAGACCGCCUGGGGAGUACGGUCGCAAGNUUAAAACUCAAAGGAAUUGACGGCNGAGAGAGCGAGACGACGACGAGGGAGGAGG
rnacentral:rRNA from 1 species